AGAAUUGUUGCAGAUCCUUAAAGAUAAGAGGAGACUUGAAGGACAGGUGGAGGCUUUGUCAUUAGAAGCCAGUCAGGCACUUCAAGAGAAGGCUGAGCUACAGGCCCAGCUUGCUGCCCUGAGCACAAGGCUACAGGCACAGGUGGAACACAGUCACAGCAGCCAGCAGAAGCAAGACUCCCUUAGUUCUGAAGUGGACACUUUGAAGCAGUCUUGCUGGGAUUUGGAGCGGGCUAUGACUGACCUGCAGAACAUGCUAGAAGCUAAAAAUGCCAGCCUGGCAUCGUCAAACAAUGACCUACAAGUGGCAGAGGAGCAGUAUCAGAGACUGAUGGCCAAAGUGGAGGCCAUGCAGAGAAACAUCCUUAGCAAGGACAACACAGUUCAUGACCUGCGGCAGCAGAUGACAGCGCUACAGAGCCAGCUCCAGCAAGUACAGCUGGAGCGCACAACACUGACCAGCAAACUACAAGCAUCACAGGCUGACAUGUUAGAUCAGGAGGCAGCAUUUGUACAGAUUCGGGAGGCGAAGACAAUGGUGGAAGAAGACCUCCAAAGGAAGCUGGAAGAAUUUGAAGGUGAACGGGAACAGUUACAGAAAGUGGCGGAUGCAGCAGCGUCCCUGGAGCAACAGUUGGAACAGGUGAAGUUGACAUUGUUCCAGCGAGAUCAGCAGCUGGCAGCACUUCAGCAGGAGCAUCUAGAUGUGAUAAAGCAGCUUACAUCGACACAGGAGGCUCUACCAACUCAUCAAUGAGCUGAAAGCUACCAAAAAACGCCUGGACUCAGAGAUGAAGGAACUGAGGCAGGAGCUGAUCAAGCUGCAUGGAGAGAAGAAGACUGUGGAAGUAGAGCACUCACGGCUGCAGAAGGACAUGUCCCUGGUUCACCAGCAGAUGGCAGAGCUUGAGGGGCAUCUCCAGUCGGUGCAGAAAGAGCGAGAUGAAAUGGAGAUUCACCUGCAGUCUUUGAAGUUUGACAAAGAGCAGAUGAUAGCCCUUACUGAGGCCAAUGAGACACUAAAGAAACAAAUAGAGGAGCUGCAGCAAGAGGCCAAGAAGGCCAUCACAGAACAGAAGCAGAAGAUGAAGCGGCUGGGCUCAGAUCUGACCAGUGCCCAGAAGGAGAUGAAGACUAAGCACAAGGCUUACGAGAAUGCUGUGAGCAUUCUCAGCCGUCGCCUACAGGAGGCUCUGGCUAACAAGGAGCCCCUGAAGAAUCUCAACAGCUGUUUGCAGCAGCUCAAGCAGGAAAUGGACAGUCUACAGCGCCAGAUGGAGGAGCAUACCAUCACUGUGCAUGAGUCCCUGUCCUCGUGGGCUCAGGUGGAAGCUGCCCCAGCAGAGCAUGCCCAUGCCCGGGGAGACACAAAAGUACACAAUCAAAACAGUGUUCCUGGAGAAGGGCUGGGCCAAUGACCACUGUUGUCCUUAUCACCAAGUAUUUGUGGCUGUUGAAGGAAUACUCUUGUCAAUAUUAUUUAUUUGAUUG
rnacentral:lncRNA from 1 species